rnacentral:snRNA from 14 species
GGCCGAGGGGGAUCUGACCCCCCCACCAUGUCCAAAGCCCGGGGGACCUGAACGGACUGUGUUGGCUCCGCGGAUCUCCAUGGUGGCCUCCUGGCCUCGCUGCUCCAUGCUGGAGCCUCCAGAAGUGACGAGAGUAGAUGGAGCAGUGACCUUCCCAGUUGGACAGGGUAGUGUUUCCAUCAAGGGUAAAUGAAGAACUGGGCUUGUCUGCUAGAGCCUCCAAAAAUAACAAUCACAGCUAAAGCGAUUUGGAGAAAGGGGACAAGGGCAAGCGUAGAACUGGACCCAGAUCAAGGACAGCCGCCCCACCGGUUCU